rnacentral:pre_miRNA from 1 species
CAACUACUCCCUCUGUCCAAAAUUUCUUGUCUUAGAUUUUUCUAGAUACGGAUGUAUCUAAUACUAAAAUGUGACUUGAUACAUCCAUAUCUAGACAAAUCUAAGACAAGAAUUUUGGGACGGAGGGAGUACUUU